rnacentral:rRNA from 2 species
UAGGGAAUCUUCCGCAAUGGACGAAAGUCUGACGGAGCAACGCCGCGUGAGUGAAGAAGGUUUUCGGAUCGUAAAACUCUGUUGUCAGAGAAGAACAAGUUGGAGAGUAACUGCUCCAGCCUUGACGGUAUCUGACCAGAAAGCCACGGCUAACUACGUGCCAGCAGCCGCGGUAAUACGUAGGUGGCAAGCGUUGUCCGGAUUUAUUGGGCGUAAAGCGAGCGCAGGCGGUUCCUUAAGUCUGAUGUGAAAGCCCACGGCUCAACCGUGGAAGGUCAUUGGAAACUGGGGAACUUGAGUGCAGAAGAGGAGAGUGGAAUUCCAUGUGUAGCGGUGAAAUGCGUAGAUAUAUGGAGGAACACCAGUGGCGAAGGCGACUCUCUGGUCUGUAACUGACGCUGAGGCUCGAAAGCGUGGGGAGCAAACA